AGGAUAAACGCUGGCGGCAGGCCUAACACAUGCAAGUCGAGCGCCCGUAGCAAUACGGGAGCGGCAGACGGGAUAGUAACACGUGGGAACGCGCCCUUCGGUUCGGAAUAACUCAGGGAAACUUGAGCUAAUACCGGAUACGCCCUUACGGGGAAAGAUUUAUUGCCGAAGGAACGGCCCGCGUCCGAUUAGCUAGUUGGUGAGGUAAUGGCUCACCAAGGCGACGAUCGGUAGCUGGUCUGAGAGGAUGACCAGCAUCACUGGGACUGAGACACGGCCCAGACUCCUACGGGAGGCAGCAGUGGGGAAUAUUGGACAAUGGGCGCAAGCCUGAUCCAGCCAUGCCGCGUGAAUGAUGAAGGCCUUAGGGUUGUAAAGUCCUUUUAACGGGGAGAUAAUGACGGUACCGUAGAGUAAGCCCGGCUAACUUCGUGCCAGCAGCCGC
rnacentral:rRNA from 1 species